GAUGAACGCUGGCGGCGUGCCUAAUACAUGCAAGUCGAGCGAACGGACGAGAAGCUUGCUUCUCUGAUGUUAGCGGCGGACGGGUGAGUAACACGUGGAUAACCUACCUAUAAGACUGGGAUAACUUCGGGAAACCGGAGCUAAUACCGGAUAAUAUUUUGAACCGCAUGGUUCAAAAGUGAAAGACGGUCUUGCUGUCACUUAUAGAUGGAUCCGCGCUGCAUUAGCUAGUUGGUAAGGUAACGGCUUACCAAGGCAACGAUGCAUAGCCGACCUGAGAGGGGGAUCGGCCACACUGGAACUGAGAAACGGUCCAGACUCCUACGGGAGGCAGCAGUAGGGAAUCUUCCGCAAUGGGCGAAAGCCUGACGGAGCAACGCCGCGUGAGUGAUGAAGGUCUUCGGAUCGUAAAACUCUGUUAUUAGGGAAGAACAUAUGUGUAAGUAACUGUGCACAUCUUGACGGUACCUAAUCAGAAAGCCACGGCUAACUACGUG
rnacentral:rRNA from 1 species